UGUAAGCCAAAGUUUACGGUACC
rnacentral:siRNA from 1 species